GAGGUGGCAAGGAGAAAGCGGAGGCUGCAGAAGGCAUCGCAGAUGGCUGUGUGGUGGCUGGCACAGUGCCCACCGCCAUGGAUGCAAACACUCACACGCACGCACACGUACGUACACACACACACACACACACACACACACACACACACGCACACCAAAAAAAGGAAAGGGUGAUCGAGGAAUAAAAUCAAAAGCAGGGAGAGAAGGGCACAGGGGCCCUGGGAACUGGGGGUGGGGAAGGCUCUAGAUCUAUUUGAAUCUGCUCCGGAAGUGGAAGAGGAGAAAAAAAAAAGAAACCACCACAGGCGCAGAGAGAAGAGAGCUCUCCCGAUACCCCACCCCACCCCCACCCCACCCCAGCCACCCCUCCUCCCUGGCAUGGGAUUCAUGGGCACCAGCUGAGGACAGGGUCCCCUCCCUCUGCUUGCCAUAAAUAUUGGCACCGAGGACCCAGACUCAGAAGGACAGGACAUUCCCAAAGAAAAAAAAUUUUUUUAAGUUGCUUUUUAAAAUAUACAUGUAUAUAUAUUUUUAAAACAUUGCACCCGUUUUGGUAUGAGGGCGAAGGCGAGUGAAAGAAGGUGGCUGAGCCAGGAGGAGAGAGCACAGAUGGCUUGGUGGUGGUAUGGUGUGGCAUGGGGAGCAGAGCGACAGACGGAGAGAGGCUUGAGGACACAAAGGAGGAAGCGUGCCAUUGCCAAGACCCCAAGGAAGAAGGACAGAGAGCGCUGGCAGUCCUGUCUGGCCCCCAGCCAGUUUCCUGCUGAAGAUGGCCAAAUCCUCUUGCCUGGUCUGUGUAUGUCACCGUGCGAGCAUGGUGGGAGCAGGGGGGUGGCUUGCUUGCUGAGCUGGGAUCUAGAAUGGGAAGGGCACCUUUCUGUGGAUCUCGUUUGGACUUUCCACUCUAACAAGUGAGGUAUCUGAUUUUCUCCCUGGUGCCUUCCUCUCCUCCCCCUCCCUCCACUCCACCCCUCUUUCAUCUCUCUAUCACCAUCUGGGUCCUACUGCUUGGCACCCAACCAACUAGAUGCCGCCACGCUUGGUAGUGCUGCACUGGCACGUGAACAGUGUCUCAGAUCCUGGCACUGCGGCAAACCCAAAGCCGCCAAACAAUGCUCACGACCGCCACUUGGCGGCAGAGGGAGAGGGGGCAGCGCACAUGGGCACUCCGGGCAUCAGGCGGAGCUCUGCUGGGGAGUGGCAUGAGAUGGCACCCUCAACAGCUUGCUGCAUCGGUACUUGCCAGCCAACCUCAAGUAGACACCCACCUCCCUCCUACCUAACUGCCUCCAAGAAAGGGAUUUAACUGCUACCACAGUCAGUGUUUGAGUAGCUAUUUCAAGGGAACCUGGAGAACAGAGGGACAAGGGCAUAGGCAAGAAACCAAAUCCAAGGCUCCAGGCCAGUGGCCUGUAUGCCUCUCUGGGCAGUGAAGACAGAGAAAAUGCUAGCAGGGCAAAUGAAAGCUGUAGAGGGGACAGCCAGCUAUGUUGUCACAAAGCUGGUGCCAGAAGAGAUUAGGAAGGAGGAACCCUCAGGCCUUGCUGUUGGUUGUGGGGUGGUUUAUGCCUGUAUAUAUUUUGUCUGCCCUAUAUCUUGUGAUUGGCUGAGCUGUGGUUGAGAUGAACCAGUUCUUCCUCCCUCAUUAAAAGGCCCAUAUUCAGUAACAGUCCCAGGAAAAUGAAGAGGUGCUCUAGGCCUAAAGAGGUAGAUAAGUAUAAGGAAAACAAAGGCACCUGGGACUUGUCCUUCCAGAAAGAGUGUUUGCGGAGAUUUAGGAAUUUCUCAAUGGCACCGCAGUUAGGUAGAAUUGGAUAAAUGUCCAUGUCUUUGAAAUUCACCCCUGAAAGGGAAUCCACAGAUCAGCAAUGAACCCUCAUAGAGAGGAAGGCUCCUAGAAGGAGAGUCCCCAGCA
rnacentral:lncRNA from 1 species